rnacentral:lncRNA from 1 species
UGCACUACUUAAACAAACCAAACAACCGGUACUUAAAAAGACAACAGGCUCCUUGUGGAUGGGAUCGAAUGACUGCCCUGUUCCCUUCACCUGUGAAAUUUCUGAGAUGACUUGAAAAGGGCCAUUGUUUCCCAGGAAUUCCAGGCCUAGUCCAGGAAAGCAAGUCUUCAUUUCAGCAGGAAUUUGGAGUCUGCUCGAGAAGGCCUUGCAAGAAGUGUGUUUAUGGAUUUCCAGAGUGUGAUACAAACACAAUUUUCCUGUGAGGCUCUUCCCCCUGA